AAAGAUGAAAAGAACUUUGAAAAGAGAGUUAAACAGUACGUGAAAUUGUUGAAAGGGAAACGAUUGAAGUCAGUCAUACCAACGGGAAAUCAACCUCUUGAGCUCGGUCUCGUGGGUUUUGAAGAGUUUCAAAGCCUUCGGAUUCGCGGGAUUGGGAUCUCUUGGCGUACUUUUUCGUACGGUUAGUCAACAUCGGUUUUGAAUGUCAUAAAAUGACUGGAGGAAUGUAGCUUCGAUCUCGUAUUGAAGUGUUAUAGCCUUUGGUAGAUGUGAUGUUUGAGAUCGAGGAUUGCAACGGAUACCCUUCAGGGCUAUUCGUCUGAUCUCUGAUACGUUGCCUUGAUGUUGAAAGCUUGCUUAUGAUGUUAGGGUAUUACGGUCAAAAGGUUAGAACGAAUUACAUUCGUUAAGGAUGUUGACGUAAUGACUUUAAACGACCCGUCUU
rnacentral:rRNA from 1 species